rnacentral:rRNA from 1 species
GACGAACGCUGGCGGCGUGCUUAACACAUGCAAGUCGAACGGAAAGGCCCUGCUUUUGUGGGGUGCUCGAGUGGCGAACGGGUGAGUAACACGUGAGUAACCUGCCCUUGACUUUGGGAUAACUUCAGGAAACUGGGGCUCAUACCGGAUAGGAUCUCCUGCUGCAUGGUGGUGGUUGGAAAGUUUCGGCGGUUGGGGAUGGACUCGCGGCUUAUCAGCUUGUUGGUGGGGUAGUGGCUUACCAAGGCUUUGACGGGUAGCCGGCCUGAGAGGGUGACCGGCCACAUUGGGACGGAGAUACGGCCCAGACUCCAACGGGAGGCAGCAGGGGGGAAUAUUGCACAAUGGGCGGAAGCCUGAUGCAGCAACGCCGCGGGCGGGAUGACGGCCUUCGGGUUGUAAACCGCUUUCGCCGGUGACGAAGCGUGAGUGACGGUAAUGGGUAAAGAAGCACCGGCUAACUACGUG